GGCGCUGUGGCUUAGUUGGUUAAAGCGCCUGUCUAGUAAACAGGAGAUCCUGAGUUUGAUUCUUGGCAGUGCCU
rnacentral:tRNA from 1 species